GGAUUGAGUCACAGAGAAAUGUGAGCAUUUACACUUCUGAAGUAGGUGUGAAUGGGACUGAAGGAAUUACAUGGAGGAUUCUGAACUCCCCUUCUUCCUGCUCCGGGAAAGACGGGCCUGCUCUGAGACCACCUCUGGUUAUUAUCCACACGUACUGAUGAAGCUGUCUAGAAUGGUGUGACAAAUGCCAGCCCAGGACAAGGAGGUUUUGAAAGGACACAAGAAAAACAGAGCCAAAGUAAACACCAGCAAGGAAAGAGAAGAGGAGAGGAAGAAACAGAAAUAUCCAUGGAAAUCUGUCAGGUACAGAGAAGGCCCUUUCUGACAUACUCUAUUUCUUAUAACACUUAGCAUACACUUAGUUAAACCAGUAAAAAAAGCCAU